rnacentral:piRNA from 1 species
UGCCCAGGAGAUGGAAAUCUGCCAUCACUGU